rnacentral:rRNA from 1 species
CCAGUAGCUUCGUAGUGACCUCGCGGAGGAUCAUUAAAGAGUAAGGGUGCUCAGCGCCCGACCUCCAACCCUUUGUUGUUAAACUACCUUGUUGCUUUGGCGGGACCGCUCGGUCUCGAGCCGCUGGGGAUUCGUCCCAGGCGAGCGCCCGCCAGAGUUAAACCAAACUCUUGUUAUUUAACCGGUCGUCUGAGUUAAAAUUUUGAAUAAAUCAAAACUUUCAACAACGGAUCUCUUGGUUCUCGCAUCGAUGAAGAACGCAGCGAAAUGCGAUAAGUAAUGUGAAUUGCAGAAUUCAGUGAAUCAUCGAAUCUUUGAACGCACAUUGCGCCCCUUGGUAUUCCGAGGGGCAUGCCUGUUCGAGCGUCAUUACACCACUCAAGCUAUGCUUGGUAUUGGGCGUCGUCCUUAGUUGGGCGCGCCUUAAAGACCUCGGCGAGGCCACUCCGGCUUUAGGCGUAGUAGAAUUUAUUCGAACGUCUGUCAAAGGAGAGGAACUCUGCCGACUGAAACCUUUAUUUUUCUAGGUUGACCUCGGAUCAGGUAGGGAUACCCGCUGAACUUAAGCAUAUCAAUAGNCGGAGGAAA